rnacentral:tRNA from 1 species
GGGGUUAUAGCUCAGUGUUAGAGUGCUUGUCUUGCACAUGGGAGGCCCUGGGUUCGAUCCUCAGUACCACA